CAGGAGUGGCCCAUGAGAAAACAAAUUUUAAAAAAAGAAAUCAAAAUCAAUAGCUGGACACCACAUCACCAUCUCAGCUUUUGAUGAUUACAGAUUUCAAAAAAUCUAUCUUCUGCUAUCGAUUUACCAUGAAGGUCUUCCUUAUUCAUAUCAGUCUGGUUGUCUCGGCCGCCAUUUCUCCUGUUCGCGACGAACAUAGUCUGGAACACCACCCAACAGAUUGACCAUAGUCCAUAGCAAAAAAGACGACACUGUUCACUAGUCCCCCGACUAAAAACCCAGGGCAAUGCUGGAAAAUGUGAUUACUGUCUUCCUCAGAGUUACGACAUCGGGGACAAUAAAUUUCCACAGCCACUUUUUUAUGCUUGAGAUUAGUUAAAGUAGGGAUGUAAUUCCAAGAGAUUCUCCAUACUGUAAUUUUAACUUUUUAAGGAAUAUGUAAAUUCCAUAGUUUCCUGUGAAAAUCUUUAAUCUCGGUCUGUAUAAGAUUAUUCCUAGGACCCGAAUUAGCCUCAUGUAAUAGUUUAUAGGCACUUCUGACUGAGAAAUCGCUUGAAGGUUCUCCUCUCCACACUUGGAAGUUGUCGUGUACUAUCUCUGCCAAAGGGAUCUAUAGAAUAUUCUUUGCAGUAUCCGCAUUAAAGAAAUUCAAUCCCCCAUGC